UACGUAGGGUGCAAGCGUUGUCCGGAAUUAUUGGGCGUAAAGAGCUCGUAGGCGGUUUGUCGCGUCUGCUGUGAAAACUCGGGGCUUAACUCCGGGCCUGCAGUGGGUACGGGCAGACUAGAGUGCGGUAGGGGAGACUGGAAUUCCUGGUGUAGCGGUGAAAUGCGCAGAUAUCAGGAGGAACACCAAUGGCGAAGGCAGCUCGCUGGGACGUGACUGACGCUGAGACGCGAAAGCGUGGGGAGCAAACAGG
rnacentral:rRNA from 1 species